GGUCUCGUCGUUCAGUUGGCUAGAGCGUUGGCUGUACUAAAGCCUUCCCCUUGCUGGCGUGGGUUCGAAUCCCACCGAGGCCG
rnacentral:tRNA from 1 species